rnacentral:rRNA from 2 species
GGAGGAAAGGGGAAAGACGGUUCUAUAAGGUUUUUUUAACGCUCAGGAUGAACGCUGGCGGCGUGCCUAAUACAUGCAAGUCGAGCGAACAGAUGAGAAGCUUGCUUCUCUGAUGUUAGCGGCGGACGGGUGAGUAACACGUGGGUAACCUACCUAUAAGACUGGGAUAACUCCGGGAAACCGGGGCUAAUACCGGAUAAUAUUUUGAACCGCAUGGUUCAAUAGUGAAAGACGGUUUCGGCUGUCACUUAUAGAUGGACCCGCGCCGUAUUAGCUAGUUGGUAAGGUAACGGCUUACCAAGGCGACGAUACGUAGCCGACCUGAGAGGGUGAUCGGCCACACUGGAACUGAGACACGGUCCAGACUCCUACGGGAGGCAGCAGUAGGGAAUCUUCCGCAAUGGGCGAAAGCCUGACGGAGCAACGCCGCGUGAGUGAUGAAGGUCUUCGGAUCGUAAAACUCUGUUGUUAGGGAAGAACAAAUUUGUUAGUAACUGAACAAGUCUUGACGGUACCUAACCAGAAAGCCACGGCUAACUACGUGCCAGCAGCCGCGGUAAUACGUAGGUGGCAAGCGUUAUCCGGAAUUAUUGGGCGUAAAGCGCGCGUAGGCGGUUUCUUAAGUCUGAUGUGAAAGCCCACGGCUCAACCGUGGAGGGUCAUUGGAAACUGGGAAACUUGAGUGCAGAAGAGGAGAGUGGAAUUCCAUGUGUAGCGGUGAAAUGCGCAGAGAUAUGGAGGAACACCAGUGGCGAAGGCGGCUCUCUGGUCUGUAACUGACGCUGAUGGCGAAAGACGC